GAUGAACGCUGGCGGCGUGCUUAACACAUGCAAGUCGAACGGAAAGGCUCUUGCUUGCAGGGGUACUCGAGUGGCGAACGGGUGAGUAACACGUGGGUGAUCUGCCCUGCACUUCGGGAUAAGCCUGGGAAACUGGGUCUAAUACCGGAUAGGACGAUGGCUUGGAUGCCAUUGUGGAAAGUUUUUUCGGUGUGGGAUGAGCUGGCGGCCUAUCAGCUUGUUGGUGGGGUAAUGGCCUACCAAGGCGUCGACGGGUAGCCGGCCUGAGAGGGUGUACGGCCACAUUGGGACUGAGAUACGGCCCAGACUCCUACGGGAGGCAGCAGUGGGGAAUAUUGCACAAUGGGCGCAAGCCUGAUGCAGCGACGCCGCGUGGGGGAUGACGGCCUUCGGGUUGUAAACUCCUUUCGCUAGGGACGAAGCGCAAGUGACGGUACCUGGAGAAGAAGCACCGGCUAACUACGUG
rnacentral:rRNA from 1 species